rnacentral:rRNA from 1 species
UACGAAGGGGGCUAGCGUUGCUCGGAAUCACUGGGCGUAAAGCGCACGUAGGCGGAUGUGUCAGUCAGGGGUGAAAUCCCGGAGCUCAACUUCGGAACUGCCUUUGAUACAGCACGUCUUGAGUCCGAUAGAGGUGGGUGGAAUUCCUAGUGUAGAGGUGAAAUUCGUAGAUAUUAGGAAGAACACCGGUGGCGAAGGCGGCCCACUGGAAUCGGUACUGACGCUGAGGUGCGAAAGCUAGGGAGCGAACGGG